rnacentral:rRNA from 1 species
CUACGGGAUGCACCAGUGGGGAAUAUUGGACAAUGGGGGAAACCCUGAUCCAGCAAUGCCGCGUGUGUGAAGAAGGCCUGCGGGUUGUAAAGCACUUUCGGUUGGGAGGACUGCUUCUAGCACUAAUAUUGUUGGAAGUUGACGUUACCUUCAGAAGAAGCACCGGCUAACUCCGUGCCAGCAGCCGCGGUAAUACGAAGGGUGCAAGCGUUAAUCGGAAGUACUGGGCGUAAAGCGCGCGUAGGCGGCUAGAUCAGUCGGGUGUGAAAGCCCCGGGCUUAACCUGGGAACUGCAUCCGAUACUGUCUAGCUUGAGUACAGGAGAGGAGAGUGGAAUUCCACAUGUAGCGGUGAAAUGCGUAGAUAUGUGGAGGAACACCAAUGGCGAAGGCAGCUCUCUGGCCUGAUACCGACGCUGAGGUGCGAAAGCGUGGGGAGCAAACAGGAUUAGAUACCCGUGUAGUC